rnacentral:miRNA from 1 species
GAUGCUGUCAUAAUAAGGG